UACAGAGGUCUCAAGCGUUGUUCGGAUUCAUUGGGCGUAGAGGGUGUGUAGGUGGCGCGCUAAGUCGGGGUGUGAAAUUUCGGAGCUUAACUCCGAAACUGCAUUCAAUACUGGCGUGCUUGAGGACUGGAGAGGAGACUGGAAUUUACGGUGUAGCAGUGAAAUGCGUAGAUAUCGUAAGGAAGACCAGUGGCGAAGGCGGGUCUCUGGACAGUUCCUGGCACUGAGACACGAAGGCCAGGGGAGCAAACGGG
rnacentral:rRNA from 1 species